rnacentral:rRNA from 1 species
AACGCGAAGAACCUUACCUACCCUUGACAUCCUAGGGAUUUUGCAGAGAUGCAAGAGUGCCGAAAGGAACCUAGAGACAGGUGCUGCAUGGCUGUCGUCAGCUCGUGUUGUGAGAUGUUGGGUUAAGUCCCGUAACGAGCGCAACCCUUAUCCUUAGUUGCCAACGCGUAAAGGCGGGGACUCUAAGGAGACUGCCGGUGAAGAACCGGAGGAAGGUGGGGACGACGUCAAGUCAUCAUGGCCUUUAUGGGUAGGGCCACACACGUGCUACAAUGGUCAGUACAGAGGGUAGCGAACCCGCGAGGGGGAGCCAAUCCCAAAAAGCUGAUCGUAGUCCGGAUUGAAGUCUGCAACUCGACUUCAUGAAGUCGGAAUCGCUAGUAAUCGCGAAUCAGCAUGUCGCGGUGAAUACGUUCCCGGGCCUUGUACACACCGGUACUA